rnacentral:rRNA from 1 species
UACGUAGGGUGCAAGCGUUAAUCGGAAUUACUGGGCGUAAAGCGUGCGCAGGCGGUUAUGCAAGACAGAUGUGAAAUCCCCGGGCUCAACCUGGGAACUGCAUUUGUGACUGCAUAGCUAGAGUGCGGCAGAGGGAGAUGGAAUUCCGCGUGUAGCAGUGAAAUGCGUAGAUAUGCGGAGGAACACCGAUGGCGAAGGCAAUCUCCUGGGCCUGCACUGACGCUCAUGCACGAAAGCGUGGGGGAGCAAACGAGG